AAGGAAUGCUGGAAAAUGAGCUGUUAGCAGGGCUUGUUCACGAGUAGGCUGCACAUGAACUAGAAGAAGCCACAGACAGAACAGAAUCGCUUGGGAAAGAAGGACUCUUUUUUGCCGGUCCGGGAGAAAGAAGGCUACUCAAAGCUUCACAGAUGACCAGUCCAACGGCAUAAGUUGAAAAGAUCAUUCCCUUGAAAGAAAGGGCUACUAGCCUAACUCUUUAGAAGUGGUCUUCCACGACCAACGUCCCCGAUUCGAAUAGGUAGCUUCCAGUUUUUUUUUCCAAGGCUGGGGCCUAAGGACUCUCUUCUCUGGAUGUCAAAUCAGUUGCGAAGGACUGCUGUCGGAUUGAAAAGAACAAACUGAGAACUUCUUCCCCAGCUACAGAUUUUGAAAAGGAAGGUGCUUCGAUAGAAACUCCAGAAGGAGUGUAUUGCUAGGCUUUGAAUGAGAAGGGGGUGGGACCCCCAGCAAGGAGAGUCUGUUGAUCCUGAGCUUUUUUAGUUUAGAUGAAAUCCUUAAGCAAGGAAUAAUAUUCUUUCACCAAGUGGGAUGAAAGUCAAGAAGAAGGUAAGCUUCUUCUAUCGGUUUUUUUCGGACAGCAACUUUAUAGCUUCCUCCGCACCAGUAAGAGUCUCAGUUACUCGAGAAAGACUUCUUUUUAUUCCAGUUCAGAAGACCGGGAAAACCUCUCUGCGAAUGUCUAGCCUUCUCGCGAAUUCCCUAUAACUAUAAAAUUUCUUAAUAUAAGAAAGGAAAGUCGAAUCCAAGGGGCAUAUCUUUACUAGGUUAUGAUUCGCAUCUCGAAAGAAAUGCAUUGAUAAAGGAUCUCACCUUACUCUAAGAAGUAAGCAAGUAAACCCUCAAAAGAUGUGCACAAGAGC
rnacentral:lncRNA from 1 species